UGUGGUAAUGACGGCUAGAAGGAUACACCUGUUCCCAUGCCGAACACAGAAGUUAAGCUUCUAAGCGCCGAGAGUAGUUGGGGGAUCGCUCCCUGC
rnacentral:rRNA from 1 species